UGGACGUGAAAGCUCCUGGCCCAACUGGGAGAGGUCGUUCAAUACUGCAUAGCUUGAGGACAGCAGAGGGGGGUGGAAUUUCCGGUGUAGUGGUGAAAUGCGUAGAUAUCGGAAGGAACACCAGUGGCGAAGGCGGCCCCCUGGGCUACUCCUGACGCUGAAGGCGAAAGCUAGGGGAGCAAACGGGAUUAGAAACCCCGGUAGUCCUAGCCGUAAACGAUGGAUACUAGGUGUAGGGGGCGAAAAAACUCUCUGUGCCGAAGCUAACGCGUUAAGUAUCCCGCCUGGGGAGUACGGCCGCAAGGCUAAAACUCAAAGGAAUUGACGGGGACCCGCACAAGCAGCGGAGCGUGUGGUUUAAUUCGAUGCUACGCGAAGAACCUUACCAGGGCUUGACAUGCAGGUAGUAGUGAAGCGAAAGCGGAACGAUCCUUCGGGAAGCCUGCACAGGUGCUGCAUGGCUGUCGUCAGCUCGUGCCGUGAGGUGUUAGGUUAAGUCCUGGUAACGAGCGCAACCCCUGCCGUUAGUUACAAGUGUCUAGCGGGACUGCCCGCAAAACUGGGAGGAAGGUGGGGAUGACGUCAAGUCAGCAUGGCCUUUAUGUCCUGGGCUACACACACGCUACAAUGGCCGGUACAAUGGGUUGCCAAGCCGCGAGGCGGAGCCAAUCCUUAAAGUCGGUCUCAGUUCGGAUUGUAGGCUGCAACUCGCCUGCAUGAAGUGGAGUUGCUAGUAACGCAGGUCAGCACACUGCGGUGAAU
rnacentral:rRNA from 1 species